CCUCGAUGUGCAAUAUUAUAUGGACGAGAAGUCUGUAAAGGUUGUCUGCUACCAUUGCUUGUUUUACUAGGUAGAGGAUAGAUUGGCCUUGCAGUUGACACAAGUAUAAGUGACAGAUAUAUGAGCAGAACAUAACCUGCAUUUGAUGUUAAAGCCAUGGAUUUGGCUCAGCUUCUCCUACUCUUCUGCUAAGGGUCCUAAGUCCUAAC
rnacentral:misc_RNA from 1 species